UGUUAUACUAGUUUCAGGUGUAUAACAUGAUUUAAUAUAUGCAUAUAUUGCAAAAUGAUCACCGCAGUAGGUCUAACUAGACAUCCAUCACUACAUCAUUACAAUUUUUUCUCUUGUGAUGAGAACUUUGAAGAUGUUCUUUUUCUUAUUAUUAUUAUCAUUAAUCUUAGCAGUGGAAACAUAUUGUCAAGAACUUUGGGGGGUGGGAGUAAUGGAAAAGCAUCAGAUUGGAAGUGAAAAUCUCUGGCUCUUAAUUUCAGCUAUGGAUGUUUGCAACUGCUAACCUUUACUAUAGGCUUGUGAGGUACCAGCCUGAACUGGAGUAUUCCCCCGUUUGAUCCCAUCUAAACUUCACACCAGCUGGUGAGGGGCAGAGCUCAGAUUUGAACAAUUGAUCCCAUGCACUGAACUUCCACUUCGGAUCAACAACAUACCUCUUUUCUCCUGCUGAGGCCACCUAAGCAUACUGGAUCCCUGAGUCAUCACUUGGAAGGAAGAGCUGCGAUUGAUGAAAUCCAAAUGAAGGAGAAACAAACUUGGAUGUACCAAGCUACUCUACCUUGGGGUGUGUUUGUUACUACAGAAUAACCUGCCCUGUCCUGACCAUAACAAGUGUCAUCCUGUGCUGGCCCCCUCUGAGAUAUGCCCUGUUCAGUGUUGGCUAUCAAAAUUGAUUUCCACUGCUAUCUUGAAGCAACCACCACUUCCUCAUGUCAAUGUCUAUGGGUUUGAACAUACUUUGGCCUCUGCAUUGCAUGGCGCAAUCAGCUACUAUUGGUGACUGUUCUUGUCACGCCCCCAGCAUUCUUUGGGCCACCAGAUUCUACUCUCUUUUACUGUCAUAUCCAUCACAGGGGCAGAGGAAGUCUUGGCUACUCUCUUAAUCUCUGUAGGACUGCAGGAGACCCAACCUCAGCUUUUUCACUCAAGGAUGCCCACAGCCAUCUUUUCUCAACUGCUCUCUUACCAGGAAGCUUGUACAAAAUUUCCCUACAUUAGAUUUUCCCAGAAAUCUAAAUUUUAAAGCUUCCUCUGAUCCUAAGCCAUUUUGGAAGGACAGGCUCCCUUGCCCUUAGCAACAUGAAUCUGGUCUGCCUAGCAGAUGACGUAUAUGGAUUCUUCUCCUGUCCUCUUCUUCUAUUAUUUAGGUGAAUAAAAAUAUUGUUACACUACAAUAUCUUUAGAAUACUUCAGUUUCUCUAUGAAACUCAGGGAAAUUUUCUUUUUCAAAAAGGCUUACUCUUUGUGAUGGUUAAUUUUACGUUUCACCUUGACUAGGUCACAAGGUGCCUAGACUCUUGAUCAAGCAUUAUUCACAGUGUCUCUGUAAGACAGUCUUGGAUGAUUAACGUUUGAAUUGGUAGAUUGAGUUAAAAAAAUUAAUUGCCCCUCUAAGGUGGGUGACCCCCAUCCAAUCGGCUGAAGACAUGAAGAGAACCAAAAGCCUGAGAAAGAUGGGUUUCCUCCAGCCAGACUGUUGGGCUGGGACACCAGUCCUGUUCUGCCCUUAGACUGGAAGUUCCACCAUUGGCCCUCCUGGGUCUCCAGCUUGCUGAAUGCAGAUCUUAGAACUUAGCCCCAUAAUCACAUGAACCAAUUCCUCAUGUAAACAGGAAUUAAGUAAUUAUCAUGUAUUACAUUAUAUUACACUGUAUCAUAUUAUAUUA